CCCAGACUCCUACGGGAGGCAGCAGUGGGGAAUAUUGCACAAUGGGCGCAAGCCUGAUGCAGCCAUGCCGCGUGUAUGAAGAAGGCCUUCGGGUUGUAAAGCACUUUCAGCGGGGAGGAAGGGAGUAAAGUUAAUACCUUUGCUCAUUGACGUUACCCGCAGAAGAAGCACCGGCUAACUCCGUGCCAGCAGCCGCGGUAAUACGGAGGGUGCAAGCGUUAAUCGGAAUUACUGGGCGUAAAGCGCACGCAGGCGGUUUGUUAAGUCAGAUGUGAAAUCCCCGGGCUCAACCUGGGAACUGCAUCUGAUACUGGCAAGCUUGAGUCUCGUAGAGGGGGGUAGAAUUCCAGGUGUAGCGGUGAAAUGCAUAGAUAUCGCGCAGAACUCCGAUUGCGAAGGCAGCAUGCCGGCUCCACACUGACGCUGAGGCACGAAAGCGUGGGUAUCGAACAGGAUUAGAUACCCCGGUACA
rnacentral:rRNA from 1 species